CAGCCGCCAGCCUCCACCUCCCUCAGCACCACCUAUGCCCAAACACCAUGUCCAGAUCCGCGCACCCUUCCCCGUCACCACCCGAGCACAACCACCGCGUUGUCUCCCACAUGGCGUCCUGCUUCCCGCCCCCUCGUCCUCAACACUUGCAUCGCAAUGGACACCAGCGUCGCCGCCCUCGCAGCCACGUACUCGGCGGAGCUCUCCGAGAAGCUUGCUGCCGAGCGGCAUCUUCACAGUCGCGCGCUCCGGCGAAUCCCUCACCAGGCCCUCAGGAAGCUGGCGGAUUGGAUGUACCUGAAAUGUGUGGAUCGGAGAAAUUGGCACUUGUUUUGGUGGAUGAGAGGGCCGUGAGCAUGAGUAUUGUACCUACAAGAUCGUUCUAGAUGGUUUGUUCUCCCAGGGUAUUCCCAUGUGUUCAUCCUGGAUCCGUUCUCCAUCGUCAGAGAGCACGCCGAUCAGCUACAGGCUCGCAUGUACUCACAUGUAUUUCAGCUGACAGAUCUAGCCUGCACUGUCCAGGUUGUAUGCUUCUGUUGAUAUUUCUGCCAGGAUGUUCUACAAUAGGGCUACUCGGAAGUAGAGGGAAGAAGAUGCUUUGUGUCUCAUUUUAAUUUAAAUCCAUGUGAUAGAUCAAGUUUUGCGUGAACUUUUUGGCCAUGACUUUUUGGUCUUAGAUGUGUAGAGUCGACAGAUGAUGUAUAUUAUAUUUUCUGUGAUACGUGGUGCAGAAAUGAAGAUGUAUUUCAUUUGUAAA